UGGAAAAGGUGCAGGUGGAAAAGUAUAUAUAGCUGUGAAGACUUUACCUGAAUCAGUGAACAAUAUAUUCCUCUUUUAUUAAUUUAAAAAAAUUCUGCAGUAGAAAGUAGAAAAAAUACUUUAAAGCCUUCAAGGUAUUUACCUGAAUCAGUGAACAAUAUAUUCCUCUUUCAAAGCCUUCAAGGUCUUUACCUGAAUCAGUAGAAAGUAGAAACCUACCUGCUACCAGGUACCAACCCCAGCAAGAAAGGAAAGUGAAAACAGAAAACCUAAUCUAAUCCUAUUUCUCAGCUAUUCAGAAUCAAAACCUAAUCUAAUCCUAUUUUAACAACCUAAAAAUCCAAUAAUCAGAAAACAAAUCUAACUAAAGUAAUUACUAAAAUCAAACUAACUAAACAAAAUUAAUUGAACUCAACAGAAAUUAAUAGAAUUUUGAAACCAAAACCUGGUCUCUACGGUUCGAACAGGGGGAAAGAGAGAGGUGGAACCGCGGCUGAUGGAGGAACUGAUUUUGGUCGCCACAGAGCUAGGGCUUGCGCGAAGGUAGCCGCGGCAUUGACUGGAGGAGAUGAUGGCUGUAGCGCUGAGAAGAUAUGCGAGCUUGAGGGGC
rnacentral:lncRNA from 1 species